ACAAACUCUCAUGUGACAACACUUUCCACCUCACGCUCUCUCCCUCAUCUUUUCAGCUAUAUAUCACACACACACCCCUAGAAAAAUGGAGGAGAACGAGAGAAGAGGGAGGAACGAAAAAAUAGGGAGAGAGAGAGAGCACAAGAUAAAUCUGAAGAGUAACUAAAAAUGAGCGUAGUUGUUCCUUUUUCGAUGGUCUCCAUCUCUUUCAUGUAAAAGAUAUUAGCCACAAAAAUUAUAGGCUUUUUUCCCUAAAAAUCUAGCCGGAAAUCAGCCAUUUUCACACCUCUGAACCAUAGUAAAUUAGCCACUAACAACACCUGAAAAACCUCGAAAACCAGCUGAGAAACAACUCAUUUAAACCUCCAUUUUCCCAUUAAAACCAAACAACCACCCAAAACCCGCUGAAAAGCAACUCCAAACCACCGCCAAAAAUAGUCAUCGCACCAUGUUUGCCAAUGAACAGAGGUUCAUUUUAACUGUGUAAUCCGCCCAAGUUCAGUUGAGUUUUUGAGUUGGGUUCAAGGUUUCUGGCGCCAGCGUGGAUCUCGAUCAGAUCGUGGUAUGUUUAUACGAAAGUUUUGGCAGUUCUUUGCUCUCUACAAUGUAUUGAACAUUAUAUUUCAAAUAUUAAAAGGUCAAUUCAUUUUCCUUUUCUUCAUGAAUUGUUUCGAUCUUUCUUCAUAUAAUUUGCUUGUCACUGAUUUGUGUUUCAACUUUUGUUACUUGGAUUUGCCGUCUUGUGUUAAUGGGUAUGCAAUGUUGAGUUUUGAUUAUUAAGUUUGUAUAAUUAAUAUUGAUUUUUGUUAUUUAAUUUGUGUAAUCAAUAUCGAGUUGUUACUAAGUUCAUAUAAUUAAAGUUGAGUAGAAACAAUAGACAGGAUUAGUCAAGUUUGGUUCCAUUAGGUUAUUUAUUAAUGAUGAAUAUUAUGUUAGUGGAUUUUUCCUUAAUCUAAUGCAUUUGUUUAAGUUUCUUGUUAGAUGUUUUCUCUUUAAGAGUGGUUUUAUAUGCUGAAAUUUAGAGAGAGAGAGAGUGAAGCUAGAAUUGGGUUGUAGGUGAAAAUUUGUGGGCCAUGGGGAGUGACCGAAGAAUUGAAAAUUGGUGAAAUUUUUACGCUUAAAAGUAUAGAGUUGAAUUAAACUGAGCAAAAUUCCUUCAAAUCCAAUGUAACGAUACGACCGAUCGUUUUAAGCUCUAGCAUGUUAUUCGGUUGUUUGAAGCUACGAACAGCUUCGCUUCAAGUAUUAUGAAUUGUAUGCAUAGUCGAAAUCGAAUUUCGGGAAGUUCGAAGUUGAUUUAAAAAGUGAAUUCUCAUUCGGAAAGCUUUAAAUUGAAAGAAUUGACUAAGAUUGGAUUUUUGAGUAAACGAUCUUGGAAUCGAGAUUUGAAGGUUCCAGCAGGUUCGUAUGAUGAUUUUGGAAUUGGACGUACAUUCGGAUCGGGUUUUGGAUGAAUGGGGAGUGUUUCAGCGCUUAUUAUGGAAGUUAGCAAUUUAAAAGAAUUUCAUAAAUUUAGGUUGAAGUGUAUUUCAAUGCUAUCAAUGUCCGUUGGGGUUCCGAGUUUAGGAAUAGCACUAUGUGGUGACUCUAGUAUUGGGAGAGCGAUCAGAAGUGGAUUUGGAUGUCCGUAGGUCAUUUUGGAGUCAUUUGGCGAAGUUAGAAAUUUGAAGGUUUUAGAGAAGUUUGACCGAGAGUGAACAUUUUGAUAUCAGGGCCGGAUUCCGAUUCCAGAAGUUGGAAUAGGUCCGUAAUGUUGAAUGUGACAUAUGUGUAAAAUUUUAAGUCAUUUCGAAUUGAUUUGAUAUGUUUCAGGACAAAACAUAAAAGUUGGAAGAUUUAAAAACUCAUAAUCCGAUUUGAUGUGUGAUUCAUAGUUUUAAUGUUGUUUGACGUGGUUUGAAACCUCUAUUAAGUUUGUAUUGUAUUUUGGGACUCGAGGACCUCGGGUGGAUUUUGAAAGGUUAACAGAAUGGAUAUCGGACAAUACGAGCUGCUGCAGAAGCUGUUUUUGGACAGCAUUGGUGCAAUCGCAGAGCUGACAUUAGGAGUUUUUAUUUUGCAAUCUUUAAAGAAUUUGAAUAUUUAUAAAAUAUGAAAGUUGUAGCCCUUGCAUUCUAGUUUUCAGAAAGAUAAACCAUUCAUCAUUUGGAUAAUUGUACAUAAAGUUAUGAUCAAUUGAAUAAAGGCUGGUAAAGCAGUUUGCCAUAAAUUUCUAAUGCGUGAAACCAACUUUGGAAACUUAUAUCUCAAAAUCUAUAAGAAGUUAUAUAGUGAAAAACCUAUAGAAUAAAAGAUAUUCACGUCUAAUUUCUAAUGCUUUAAACCGUACAUCAUUGUAUAUUUCUACGAGGAGUUAUGGACAUUUUAGUAAAAGGUGUUCAGUAGGAAAAUCUUGUAAUAUAAGGUACAACCUGCACAGUGCAAGGUACAACUCGCAGAAGCACCUGUGCCUAUAUAAGGCAGUCGGGCAGCAGCCAUUUUUGGGGGCUUUCUUGAGCUAGCGAUUGGUUCUUUCAUGGUGGAUUCGACCUUGGGGACUACUCAAUAAUACAAGGUGAAUUCUUUUUGGAUAUUUUAAGUUAAUAACAUCCUAUUAACACUAGUAUUAACAUCAUUCAAUCUUUGAAAUCCCUAGGACUCUUCCAAGUCGUUCAAGAUCACCAAAAUUCCAAACAUUAAAAUUUUAAGGAAAAGCUUCAAAAAGGUAAUUCUAAUGCUUCAAGCUCAUUUCUUAUUAGUCGGUGAGAGUAAUUUUAAUAUUUGUUUCAAGUUGUUAUGUUCGGAUAAUUGAUUUCAUAAUCCCUAGUUCAUAGCAUGAAUAGUGUUCUUGAGAAAAUGAUGGAAAGAUAAAUAAUGUUUUUAGAAAUUAAAUUAAAGGAUGCAAUGAACCAAUGGAAUCAUUUUCCAGCUUAGCUACAAGUGUUCAACUAAGUAAUCACCAAGUCGAAUGUUUUGGAAAUGUUGGUUAAUGAAAAUGAUGAAUAGUAAUUUGGCGGUGUUGGAGAACUAAUGUAGUAUCAUUGAUGACUUCAAAUGGAAAUUAAAUGAUAAGAGUAGAGUUGAAGGUGCUAAUGAGUGGACCUAUUAGACGAUUUGAGCCGGAGGCUUAUAGCCAACUUGUGAUCUAUAGAUGGAUAUUGAUAAAUCUUUUUGGAUCAUAUUUUAAUUGUAAUUGGGAUUGUAAUUGUAGCUACCAAUUUGUUGGUGGCGUAUGAGCAUUUUACUCAAUGUUACAAUGUCGGACGAUUAUUAAAAGCUUGUGAAUGUUAAUAAGCAAAAGUAAUUUUUGGAGCGUUGGGCAUCGGUCGAGUUGUUUGAAAGACUUGGGAGCCUGCUAAGGAACUUCGAAGCGAGUUAAGUCUCCUUUCUAAACUUGAAAGAGGAAAUUGUCCCCAUUUGUGAAAUUAUUAAGUAUUUGCUUCUAUUUGUGGGGGCUACGUAUGCAUGAGGUGACGAAAGUCCGUGCGUAGCUACUAUUGUGCUUAAUCCUGGGUAAUCGAGGACCCAAAAUCAUGCUAUACCUGAAUUAUUGUAAUCUUAUUGACAACUUAAAUUUCUUAAAUCAUAUCGAAUUAGUAAAAGAAUUUCUAAAAAAAAAUUAAACUUCGUUAAAAGAGAAUUAGCUUUUAGUUGGAUAAAAGUUUCCUGAUGAAGUGUUAGUUGAAUGUUUCAAAGUGUGUAUCUAUAAGUAUAUGCAUAGCAUGUAUGAUUAACGAGUGGGGUAACUCUAUUAUUUAUAUUUGAUGCGUUGCAAGUAUGAUUCGCAAGCAGGGUAAUAGAUGCAUAUAUGGUUCGCGUCGUUCGACCCUCAACAAUGCACAUUUUACAUUUAUGUUGGAUUAGACCGUCCUCGGCAGGAUUUGUGCAUGUUUGUAAUUCUUGCUUGACAUUUACAAAAUUUGAUAUUGCCUCCCUGGUCCGAGAUACAUUGAUAAAUAGUGAAAUAUGAAUUUGGAGACUUCCUAAUAUAAAAAGGAUUGUUUACUUGUUUUUCUUGAUUUACUUGAAUUUACUGUCAUUUCCAAUAAAUCCAUUAUUAUUUACAUUAUUAAUACAUUAUUAUUGGACCACUAGUGAGUGUCGAAGUCGACCUCUCAUCACUACUUCUUCGAGGUUAGACGGGGUACUUACUAGGUACAUAUUUUUUUGUACUGAUAUUAUACUUGUUGUGUAUUUUUAUUGCAUAUGCACAUGUAUGUCUAGCGGCCUAGUUGGCCAUAGAGGCAUGGUUGAUACGGAGACGUACGUGAGUUGCACCUCUCAAGAUGAACCGCAGCAAGCAGAGUGCUUCAGAGUACUGUACUGUUUUUUUUCUUUGUCCAAUUUGUAUUCCGAAAAGUCAUUGUUUUACAUUAUUUCUUAGAAACUUCUC
rnacentral:lncRNA from 1 species